rnacentral:lncRNA from 1 species
ACGUCAGAAAAAACACCCACAUCUCUACAAUAGUAGAAGACUGCUAGACUUAAUAUUCAAUUGAGAAGAUUCAAUUUAGAUCUCAUCUACUUAGUCAUAUAUAUUAAAUGUAAUGACUAAACUGGUUUAAUUAGGUCAGCCCAUCUUAUGUCUAAUCCACCUCGCUGGCAUGGGUGAACAUGAAUCACUAAUCAAUCAAACUUAAUCUAUAAUCUACCAAAUGGUCAGGUAAGUG